rnacentral:rRNA from 1 species
GGUUUUUUGUUAUGAUAGAAAAUCGGACCUGCCCGAUGAGAGGGUUCAAUGGCCGCGGUAUUUUGACUGUGCUAAGGUAGCAUAAUAAUUUGCUCUAUAAUUUAGAGCUGGAAUGAAAGGUUUGACGAGAGAGGAGCUGUCUGAGAGGAGAGUAGGUUGAACUUAGGUUGGUUGUGAAAAAACAACCAUAGCGCUAUGGGACGAGAAGACCCUAUUGAGUUUAACAGAGGUUACUUGAUGGAGUUUAGUAGAUGGAAGCUUAAUUGGGUAUUUGUGUGUUUAACUGGGGCGGUGCUGAGAGAUGAAAUCUUUUGGUUAAGGCAGGGAUAUUAAUGGGGAUCCAAUCGGGACGAUUGCUAGGAAGAUUAAAUUACUGUAGGGAUAACAGCGUAAUAUUAUUGGAGAGUUCAAAUUGAUAAUAAGUUUUGCGACCUCGAUGUUGAAUUAAAUUUUCCGUUUGGCGAAGGGGCUAAAUGGGAUAGUCUGUUCGACUAUUAAAUGUUUACA